rfam:Picea glauca chloroplast, complete genome.
AGGAGCCGAAUGACAUGAAAUUUUCAUGUUCGGUUCUGAAUUAGAGGCAUUGAAUAAUCAAUGUCGACUAUAAC